CCUGGCUGAAAGGACUUCAUACUGGCAGAGCUACCUACUGGAGGCCAGGGAAGAUCUGUGGUAUGGAUGGGAGGACGAGCCUGUUAGGGAUCCCUACUGGGGAACUCGACUGGCUUUGGGAGGACCCCGGAGCCUACAACGAGGUAAAGGUCGGUCGAGAAGGAAGGGUCAGCCCCGCCAGUCUCCUAGCUCUCAGGCUAGCGUCCCUGUUUCUCCUAGCUCUCAGGCUAGCGUCCCUGUUUCUCCUAGCUCCCAGGCUAGCGUUCCUGUUUCUCCUAGCUCCCAGGCUAGCGUUCCUGUUUCUCCUAGCUCCCAGGCUAGCGUUCCUGUGUCUCCUAGCUCCCAGGCUAGCGUUCCUGUGUCUCCUAGCUCCCAGGCUAGCGUUCCUGUGUCUCCUAGCUCCCAGGCUAGCGUUCCUGUGUCUCCUAGCUCCCAGGCUAGCGUUCCUGUGUCUCCUAGCUCCCAGGCUAGCGUUCCUGUGUCUCCUAGCUCCCAGGCUAGCGUUCCUGUGUCCCCUAGCUGUCAGGCUAGCGUUCCUGUGUCCCCUAGCUGUCAGGCUAGCGUUCCAGUCCCGGCUCCACGCACCCGGCCGCCGCCUGCCCUGCCGCCAGUCCCGGCUCCACGCACCCGGCCGCCAGUCCCGGCUCCACGCACCCGGCCGCCGCCUGCCCAGCCGCCAGUCCCGGCUCCCCGCACCCGGCCGCCGCCUGCCCAGCCGCCAGUCCCGGCUCCCCGCACCCGGCCGCCGCCUGCCCAGCCGCCAGUCCCGGCUCCCCGCACCCGGCCGCCGCCUGCCCAGCCGCCAGACCCGGCUCCCCGCACCCGGCCGCCGCCUGCCCAGCCGCCAGUCCCGGCUCCCCGCACCCGGCCGCCGCCUGCCCAGCCGCCAGUCCCGGCUCCCCGCACCCGGCCUCCGUCUGCCCAGCCGCCAGUGCCGGCUCCCCGCACCAGGCCGCCAACGUCGCCGCCAGUGCCGGCUCCCCGCACCAGGCCGCCAACGUCGCCGCCAGUGCCGGCUCCCCGCACCAGGCCGCCAACGUCGCCGCCAGUGCCGGCUCCCCGCACCAGGCCGCCAACGUCGCCGCCAGUGCCGGCUCCCCGCACCAGGCCGCCAACUCCCAGCUCUCCUGUCCCGUCUGAGCCCUCUUCGCCGGAGGUCUUCCCGCCUGCCUCGUCUGAGCCCUCUUCGCCGGAGGUCUUCCCGCCUGCCUCGUCUGAGCCCUCUUCGCCGGAGGUCUUCCCGCCUGUCCCGUCUGAGCCCUCCUCGCCGGAGGUCUUCCCGCCUGUCCCGUCUGAGCCCUCUUCGCCGGAGGUCUUCCCGCCUGCCUCGUCUGAGCCCUCUUCGCCGGAGGUCUUCCCGCCUGCCUCGUCUGAGCCCUCUUCGCCGGAGGUCUUCCCGCCUGCCUCGUCUGAGCGCUCUUCGCCGGAGGUCUUCCUGUCUGCCUCGCCAGCUCCGCCUCAUGGGAGGCCGCCGGAUUCCUGGU
rnacentral:lncRNA from 1 species